rnacentral:misc_RNA from 1 species
UUUCCGUAGGUGAACCUGCGGAAGGAUCAUUAAAAAAUGUGGUACCAAUUAUUGGUACUAAUUAAUCAUCCUACCCUUUGUGAAUUCGUUUGUAUGAAUUUUUUUAAAUGGGUCUUUCCCUAAGUUGGAUUGUUAGUAAAAUACAAAAGACUUAGGGGAAUGACUUUUUUAAAAGACUUUUUUUUAAUUAAAACUUUUUGUAUUCAUUUGUCUAAAAUUUAUUUUUAUAAUAUAAAAACAACUUUUGACAAUGGAUCUCUUGGUUCUCGCAACGAUGAAGAACGCAGCAAAAUGCGAUAAGUAGUGUGAAUUGCAGAAUACGUGAAUCAUCGAAUCUUCGAACGCAUAUUGCACUUUUUUAGUUUACUAAAAAAGUAUGUCUGUUUGAGUAUCAGUAAAAUAUUCUCACAAACAAUUUGUUUUUGUGGUUAUGAGUGUUUUACAACGAUAAACAAGUUGUUUCACUUUAAAUUCUUUUUUGAAGUUUUACCAAUUCAUAAAUUAAAAUUGGAUAAAAUUUUCCUUUAACGAGGAAUAACCUAAACAAUUUUAAAUUUUAUGGUUUAUAAACAUCAUCAAAGGAAUCUAUACACAAAUAACUUGAUCUCAAAUCAGAUAAGAGUACCCGCUGAACUUAAGCAUAUCAAUAAGCGGAGGAAAAGAAACUAACAAGGAUUCCCUUAGUAACGGCGAGUGAAGCGGGAAGAGCUCAAAUUUGAAAUCUUCAAGGUUUGACCUUGACGAAUUGUAGUUUAUAGAAGUGUUUUCUGUUGGAGUUUUGGUAAAAGUUCUUUGGAAUAGGACAUCAUAGAGGGUGAGAAUCCCGUAUUUGACCAUGACUUUCCAGCUGUGUGAUACACUUUCAAAGAGUCGGAUUGUUUGGGAAUGCAGUCCAAAAUGGGUGGUAAAUUUCAUCUAAAGCUAAAUAUUGGCGAGAGACCGAUAGCGAACAAGUACCGUGAGGGAAAGAUGAAAAGAACUUUGAAAAGAGAGUUAAACAGUACGUGAAAUUGUCAAAAGGGAAGCGUUUGACACCAGUGUUGUUUUCUCGAAAAUCAAUUUAAUGAGUUCUUGUUUUUAAGUUAUUGUGACUUUAUCAGCGCAUUUCUUAUUUUACUUGACUCAUUGAAUGCACUUUUCGUUUAACAAGUCAACAUCAAUUUCUUUGGUGGUAAAAAGUUUAAAGGAAGGUGGCUUGGACUUCGGUUCAAGUGUUUAUAGCCUUUUUUCUAUGCCAUCGGAGAGAUUGAGGUCUGCAGCGUAGAUCCUUCGGGGUUAGAUACCUUUGUGCUAAGUUAUAGUUUUUUAUAGACAACUUGUUGACUAUAAUUAACCCUGUAAUUUACUCGCUUAGGCUAUUU